AACUUUUAGCAAUGGAUCACUUGGUUCUCGCAUCGAUGAAGAACGCAGCGAAUUGCGAUAUGUAAUGUGAAUUGCAGAAUUCCGUGAAUCAUCGAAUCUUUGAACGCACAUUGCGCCUGCUGGUAUUCCGGUAGGCAUAUCUGUUUGAGCGUCAGCAACACCCUUCGGCAGGAUCCUUUUUGAUUCCGCCGGCUUUGGGCUGAGUAGCUCCCGAGCUUCCGGCUCGGUACUCUCGCCUUAAACCUGCUGUACGACCGCUGGCAACAUCUGGCAGGGUUUUAUGGAGUGGUAUUACAAAUCUUCCGUAACUGUCUAAGAUUCCGCUUGCGCGGCGUUAAACCCUAGGCUGCCUUCAGGUAGCUGAAGUUUGACCUCAAAUCAGAUAAGGAUACCCGCUGAACUUAAGCAUAUCAAUAAGCGGAGGCU
rnacentral:misc_RNA from 1 species